UACUGUAGGAAAGUUUGGCUUGGUCUUCAUAGCACAGAUCAACCUACCAAGGAUGAAUUGCAAAUAAAGGAUUUCAUGAUCUCAAAAUAUGAAAAAAAAAGGUAUUAUGUGGACCCAUCUGUAGCUCUAUCCAUCAGUGGCUUUGAUGUUAAAUCAAAUGGAAGUAGCUCUAGGUAUCCACCACCCAGAACUGUUUCAAGUUCUCCAGUAAUUUCAGGAACUAUUACAGCUCCUUUGACUACACCUUCUAAUACUCUCCAGCUAAGAACAACUAAGAUAACAUCCUCUCCAGUCACAAAUCAUCCGUUUAUUCCGAAUGAUGAUAAGAGUUUCUAUGCAAGUAACUUUAGGUCUGCAUUAGCUCCCCAAGAUCCAUUCAACUCCCUCGCAAACAUGGCUGGUGAUUCUGUUUCCUCAUCUGAGGCCUCAUUUGCCAAUUUUGAUAAAAAUCCUAUUUUCUCUUCGGCUACUCAAGGUUUUCCAAACAUCAGCACCGUCGGCCAGACCAUCGAUAAAACUCCCAAGUCUGCACCUCCAACGGAAGACAGAUAUGCUGCUUUGAAAGACCUAGACUCUCUGAUGAAAACUCAACAAAUGACGUCAUCCACUCCAAAAUCUGAACCUCUAGCAUCAAUCGGUGAGUGGGGCUUGAACAAAAAUACCUCUUGGUACUCCUCGUCUGGUUUUGUCUCAUCCUGUACUGAACCAGAGUCAACUUCAUCCAUGCCCUGUAAUCCUUUUAACAAUCAAAGUGGUAAUUUAUGGAGUCCUCUGAACAGUUCAUGCAACAACUCUUUUAUUGGAAAUCCAUUUAGAGUCAACCGAGCAGAGUCUGCUUGGUCCAUUCCACCUCAUGGACAAAGUUCGAAUGGAUUUCCAACCAGUCAGUCAUUAAAUUUCCCUUCUACCAAAGCUUGGAUUAAAACUGAUUCAUCCGUACAUAGUAAUCCAUUUGUGCUGAACGAACAGGGUGGAAAAAUUUGAAAUCAACACCCCAAAUACAGUGUUGGACUCACAUUCCCUACUUCCUCUUUUCGUCGAAGGCUUAGCUACCGACUCUCCUGCCCUGCAUUGAGCUGUUCCGAGGAAAUCUUCAGCCCCGGUCCGAAGGAUGCUGGACACCACUCAAGUAAUCCAUUUCUCUAGUGGUUGUAGCUCUUUCAACAAAUCGAGUUCUGUUUUUGGUCUCCUACUUAUUAGAAUGGCCUAGUUUUGACAAAUUAAAAGAUUUUCAAUCAUACCUAUUUUAUUACUUGUUUUUCAUCCUGAUGACUACGAAUACUCAUGAUACAAGUGUGUAUCCUUGUAUACAAAGUAAGGUUUUAAGCGUUUUUAGUUCUUCCCCCUCUCCCCAAACUGUUGCUGUGCCUAAACUCUCAAAAUCUGAGUGAUAUAAAUAUAUUUUUUCCCAAAUGUUUCAUAAUUCAUUUCAACAGGCUUGUCAACCUGUUGCUAAUUAUUGAAUUUUUUUGUAAAAAGUGUAUCGGCAGAUCGCUUAGUACUUACUCAGAUUUUCGAGCAGUAUAACUCCUGCUGAUGCUCUGUUUUAAAAACGGCUCUUUGUAAAAAUUGAAAUUUUACAUGGUGAAGGAAUUAUUCCCCAAGAAACCAGCCCUACAAUUAAGGAAUGGUGUUCUGUUUGUCUUAAGUAGAAUCAAGAAGUUUUUAUUCUCUAACCCAGGUUGUGUCUCACAACCCUUUUAUCCUUAAAAUUAUUCCUGCGAUGCAUGUAGUCUUCUCCUUUCUCUUCAAAGUUGUUUUAAUUUAGAGUGCAAUUUUUUUUUUUUUGUAAAAUAUAAGUCCAUAAACUUGUAAAAGUUUAAGAAUGUCUUUUAUUGAGACAUCCUAAGAUUGGUGCAAGCUUGUAUUCCUGAAGGUACUUAAUGUAUUGUAAAACAUCGAUUUAACAAUUGUCAUUGGAGGGACAAAAAUGUGCGUUAAAAUUAAAUGCAUCAAAAACGCAAUGAAAAAUGUUCAUCGUUGUUCAAGUUGAUCCCUGUAGCCUCAGAAAUGUUUUGCAACUGGCUAUGUGUACAUGCGGCCGUUUUGCAGCUUACUGUUGCAUAAACAACAGCAAGUAUUAUCGGAUAAAAGGGAGUAAGUCUACCGGAAAAAAAUGGUCCAAAAAAAUGUCAAACGUUGAUGAAACAUUAAGAUCGCAUGAGCACACAAAAGACUCACAAUCAGACAUGUGACCACGCCUGGCAGUGUUUCAGUAGGGAGGAUGUAAUAGCCUGUACGUAAACGAUGAGGCCCAGUUAAAACAACAUUUCUGUAAAUGGUAUACAUUGUGUGUCACAGCAUAAUGUUUAAUUCUCAACAUAUUGUGAUGAGAUUGGAUCUGGCAAAUUUCCCAAGUUUCCUCGUUGAAAAAGUAGUUUUUUUCUUUCUAUUUUAUUUUUAUUAUUAUUAUUAUUAUCAUUAUUUUUUUUUUUAUUUUUUUUUUUGGUCAUCACUAGCCCUUGAAAUUGUUUUUAUAUCAAAUCAAGAAUUGCUGUGACAGCGUUAUUUCAAAUUAAAAAAAUUGUCAUUUAUGUGCAUGGAACUUUGGCAGGUUCUUAUAUCGAAACAACUGUGAAAUUGAAAGUUGCUAUUUUUAAGUCUUAAUGUAUUAUUUUCAUUUUCGGUCUCCAGGAAUAGUAAAACACUAGUUAUAAAAUA